GACGAACGCUGGCGGCGUGCUUAACACAUGCAAGUCGAACGGAAAGGCCCUGCUUUUGUGGGGUGCUCGAGUGGCGAACGGGUGAGUAACACGUGAGUAACCUGCUCUUGACUUUGGGAUAACUUCAGGAAACUGGGGCUAAUACCGGAUAGGAGCUCCUGCUGCAUGGUGGGCGUUGGAAAGUUUCGGCGGUCGGGGAUGGACGCGCGGCUUAUCAGCUUGCUGGUGGGGUAGUGGCAUACCAAGGCUUGGACGGGUAGCCGGCAUGGGAGGGUGACCGGCGACCUGGGGCCUACGAGACGCAGCAGACUCCUACAGGAGGCAGCAGUGGGGAAUCUUGCACAAUGGGCGGGCGCCUGAGGCAGAAACGCCGCGUGCGUGAUGCCGGCCUUCGGGUUGUAAACCGCUUUCGCCUGUGACGAAGCGUGAGUGACGGUAAUGGGUAAAGAAGCACCGGCUAACUACGUG
rnacentral:rRNA from 1 species